CCUACGGGAGGCAGCAGUGGGGAAUAUUGCACAAUGGGGGAAACCCUGAUGCAGCCAUGCCGCGUGUGUGAAGAAGGCCUUCGGGUUGUAAAGCACUUUCAGUUGUGAGGAAAGGUUAGUAGUUAAUACCUGCUAGCUGUGACGUUAACAACAGAAGAAGCACCGGCUAACUCCGUGCCAGCAGCCGCGGUAAUACGGAGGGUGCGAGCGUUAAUCGGAAUUACUGGGCGUAAAGCGCACGCAGGCGGUCUGUUAAGCUAGAUGUGAAAGCCCCGCGCUCAACGUGGGAGGGUCAUUUAGAACUGGCAGACUAGAGUCUUGGAGAGGGGAGUGGAAUUCCAGGUGUAGCGGUGAAAUGCGUAGAGAUCUGGAGGAACAUCAAUGGCGAAGGCAACUCCCUGGCCAAAGACUGACGCUCAUGUGCGAAAGUGUGGGUAGCGAACAGGAUUAGAUACCCUGGUAGUCCACACCGUAAACGCUGUCUACUAGCUGUUUGUGGAUUUAAUCCGUGAGUAGCGAAGCUAACGCGAUAAGUAGACCGCCUGGGGAGUACGGCCGCAAGGUUAAAACUCAAAUGAAUUGACGG
rnacentral:rRNA from 1 species